GUGGGCAUUGUCAAUAUGGCUCGAGGUAUGAAAUUAAAUUCUUCCGUCCAGCUGUUGUUAAAAGGUGUUUGGAUCAACUGUGGUUCAUGUUAACUGGGGAUGUGCGCGUGCACGUCAUGUUAACCGGAGCACAGGCGGGGAGGUGAAGAAACCGAAGGCGGAGCGAGUGCUUUAUAAAGCAGCGACUGGCAUGCAUGUAAACAAAGCUGAACCGAGGAGAAUUUUAGGAGCAAGUCUGCCUUCGGGAAACGUUUAAGUUUGUUUUCGCCCGCUGCAGUUCGAGAUUCGAGUAAUCGUUCACUAUCAAACAUG